AUUGAACGCUGGCGGCAGGCCUAACACAUGCAAGUCGAACGGUAACAGGAAGCAGCUUGCUGCUUCGCUGACGAGUGGCGGACGGGUGAGUAAUGUCUGGGAAACUGCCUGAUGGAGGGGGAUAACUACUGGAAACGGUAGCUAAUACCGCAUAACGUCGCAAGACCAAAGAGGGGGACCUUAGGGCCUCUUGCCAUCGGAUGUGCCCAGAUGGGAUUAGCUAGUAGGUGGGGUAACGGCUCACCUAGGCGACGAUCCCUAGCUGGUCUGAGAGGAUGACCAGCCACACUGGAGCUGAGACACGGUCCAGGCUCCUACGGGAGGCAGCAGUGGGGAAUAUUGCACAAUGGGCGCAAGCCUGAUGCAGCCAUGCCGCGUGUAUGAAGAAGGCCUUCGGGUUGUAAAGUACUUUCAGCGGGGAGGAAGGGAGUAAAGUUAAUACCUGUGCUCAUUGACGUUACCCGCAGAAGAAGCACCGGCUAACUCCGU
rnacentral:rRNA from 1 species